rnacentral:rRNA from 1 species
GUAGGGAAUAUUGCGCAAUGGACGAAAGUCUGACGCAGCGACGCCGCGUGAGUGAUGAAGGCCUUAGGGUCGUAAAGCUCUGUUGAAUGGGAAGAAAAAAAUGACGGUACCAUUCGAGGAAGGACCGGCUAACUUCGUGCCAGCAGCCGCGGUAAUACGAGGGGUCCUAGCGUUGUUCGGAAUCAUUGGGCGUAAAGGGUGUGUAGGUGGCCAUGUAAGUCAGGUGUGAAAGCACCGGGCUCAACCCGGGAAGUGCACUUGAUACUGCGUGGCUUGAGUACCGGAAAGGGUAGUGGAAUUCCAGGUGUAGUGGUGAAAUACGUAGAUAUCUGGAGGAACACCGGUGGCGAAGGCGGCUACCUGGUCGAGUACUGACACUGAGACACGAAAGCAUGGGGAUCAAACAGGUUUAGAAACCCUAGUAGUCC